GAUGAACGCUAGCGACAGGCCUAACACAUGCAAGUCGAGGGGCAGCACAUGAGUAGCAAUACGAUGGUGGCGACCGGCGCACGGGUGAGUAACACGUAUGCAACCUGCCUGUAAGAGGGGAAUAGCCUCUCGAAAGAGAGAUUAAUACCGCAUAAUACCGAGAAGCUGCAUGGUUUUUCGGUUAAACAUUCAUGGCUUACCGAUGGGCAUGCGUAUGAGUAGCUAGUUGGUGAGGUAACGGCUCAACAAGGCAACGAUCAUUAGGGGUUCUGAGAGGAAGGUCCCCCAAACUGGUACUGAGACACGGACCAGACGCCUACGGGAGGCAGCAGUGAGGAAUAUUGGUCAAUGGGCGAGAGCCUGAACCAGCCAAGUCGCGUGAAGGAAGAAGGUUCUAUGGAUUGUAAACUUCUUUUGUAAGGGAAUAAAAAGAGUUACGUGUAACUUAUUGUAUGUACUUUACGAAUAAGGAUCGGCUAACUCCGUGCCAGCAGCCGCCGUAAGAC
rnacentral:rRNA from 1 species